AUGAAAGAUUACCCGAGCACAAAGAGAAAUACUCAGUCGAGGAGAAAAAUGCAUAAAAAGCAAGACCAAUUGAAGGAUACAAAGUCUAGUACAAGAUGGUACAUUGGUGAAAGUUCAAAGGGGAACCAAGAUAAGGAAGCCAUAGGAAAAUACAUAAAAACUCUUGAACACACAUGGAGAGCAAACAAACACAAAAACAAGGGCAUUAUCAUUAAGGAAAACAACAAGUAUAGUAGGAAUGAUAAAGUGAAAGAAGGUCAACGAAGCUAUGUCAAGUCAAGCAACCACUCAUACUCUUUGUAA
rnacentral:lncRNA from 1 species